rnacentral:misc_RNA from 1 species
GAUGAAGAACGUAGCGAAAUGCGAUAAGUAAUGUGAAUUGCAGAAUUCAGUGAAUCAUCGAAUCUUUGAACGCACCUUGCACCCUUUGGCAUUCCGAAGGGUAUGCUUGUUUGAGUGUCAUUGUACUCUCACACUCCCACUCUUUUGGAUUGGGAGCGGUGGACUUGGGUGUUGCUGCUUCACUGUGGCUCGCCUCAAAUGGAGUAGUGCAACUCUCGGUUGGACAUAGUACGGCGUGAUAAGUGUCUUCGCCGGCGCCUCACUAGAGGGUGGCCGAUCGGGAGCUCUGUGCUUCAAACCGUCUUCGGACAAUCUCUGACAACUUGACCUCAAAUCGAGUAGGACUACCCGCUGAACUUAAGCAUAUCAAUAAGCGGAGGA